rnacentral:lncRNA from 1 species
CUUCCUUAAACUCGUCUGCAUCUUCCUCUAGCAUGCUUGCACGGCCAUGCAUCACCGUGCCCACUUGAUUGUUCUGGCGCUCGUUGCCAUCACCGACCGCCGGUUGGACGACUCUCAGUUGUGCCACUGUGGCUACCAUCGCCGAUCAUAGCCGCUACCGAUCUUGAGCCUCACCUGCUCUAGGAAAGAGAGGAGACGGAGAAAAAAAAGAGAGAGAAAGAUAUUUUUUUUUCUCUCUCCAUUUUCUUUUUAGUUUCUCUUUCUAUAAAUUUCCCACUCUAAAUUGUUUUACUCUCCAUUGUCUACUUUAGGAUUGUUUAAUACAGU